rnacentral:lncRNA from 10 species
CUUUGAGACAUUUUGUCCGCUCCUUGACUCUUAGUGACUUCGAGCUUUGUCGCCCCUUUUCCUUGGUCGCGAGGGCCGUUCAUUUGCAUGUCCCACCCGCUCUGCGCCCGGGAGGCGUGGCCACCAAGGGGCCGGGCCCUGCACAGCGCCCUGGGGAAGCUGGUUUGAAAGCUCUGGAGCGACCCCAAUGCCGGAUAUUUACGUAAUUUCGAAGCAGCUCUUCACAAAAUAUUCAUCAGUUACAGAAGGAAGUCACUUCACAGUGGAAAAAUCUGGCAGGUGCCACCUUAAUCAAGUAACCAAAAUGAACAUCAUCAGUAAUAGGACAAAUUGCAAUCGUGUGCCUCCUGAUAGUCUAGCAAGAAGAACACAGCAUCACUUCUAUGAUGCUCCUGCCAAUAAUAUAUAAUUGGAAUCUAAUCCUAAAGCAACAAAUUCAAAUUAAGGAAAAUUCUACAAAAUAAUUGGCCUGUAAUAGAAGUGUUAAAGGUCAUGAAAGUUAAGGAAAGACUGAAGAACUGUUCCAGACUGAAGAUGAAAGAGAUGUGAGAAAUAAGUGCAGUGGUGAUUCUGAACUGGAUCCUGACUUGGCAAAACUUGAAUAGGUCUGUUGGUUGGAUGGUAGAAAUAUAGUAAUGUUGAUUUCCUGAUUUUUGCUAGCUAUAUUACAAUUUUAUUGGAUUCAGUCCUUGUUUACAGAAGACACACAGUAUGUAGGGGUUAUAAGAAGUCAGCUCAGGAACUUUCAAAUCAUUUAGCAAAACAAAAGUUCUUCGUACUUUAAUUCCAAGACUUCUAUAAAUUUGAGAUUAUUUUUAAAAUACUUAAAAAAAACUCCUUUAAAGUCUCUCAACAUGCUGUCCUAUUAAUAAUAGAUUUCUAAAUUUUUUAUUUUUAUCAACGUUUUGUGUGCCCAUAGUUUGAAGUAUUAAAUUGUUUUUAUUUAUUAAGG